AACGAACGCUGGCGGCAGGCCUAACACAUGCAAGUCGAGCGAGCAUUUCGGUGCUAGCGGCGGACGGGUGAGUAACGCGUGGGAACGUGCCCUUUUCUGCGGAAUAGUCCUGGGAAACUGGGGGUAAUACCGCAUACGCCCUUUUGGGGAAAGAUUUAUCGGAGAAGGAUCGGCCCGCGUUGGAUUAGGUAGUUGGUGGGGUAAUGGCCCACCAAGCCGACGAUCCAUAGCUGGUUUGAGAGGAUGAUCAGCCACACUGGGACUGAGACACGGCUCAGACUCCUACGGGAGGCAGCAGUGGGGAAUCUUAGACAAUGGGGGCAACCCUGAUCUAGCCAUGCCGCGUGAGUGAUGAAGGCCUUAGGGUUGUAAAGCUCUUUCAGCUGGGAAGAUAAUGACGGUACCAGCAGAAGAAGCCCCGGCUAACUCCGUG
rnacentral:rRNA from 1 species